rnacentral:misc_RNA from 1 species
GAUGAAGAACGUAGCGAAAUGCGAUACUUGGUGUGAAUUGCAGAAUCCCGUGAACCAUCGAGUCUUUGAACGCAAGUUGCGCCCGAAGCCAUUAGGCCGAGGGCACGCCUGCCUGGGCGUCACACGUCGUUGCCCCCCCAUCUACUCCUUCGGGAUUGCGGGGGGCGGAUGAUGGCCUCCCGUGCGCCUCGUCGCGCGGUUGGCAUAAAUGCCAAGUCCUCGGCGACGCACGCCACGACAAUCGGUGGUUGCGAAACCUCGGUUGCCCGUCGUGUGCGGUCGUCGCGCAUCGAGGGCUCGAAAAAAUUGCCGGGCUCCGGCUCGGCUUUCAACGCGACCCCAGGUCAGGCGGGGUUACCCGCUGAAUUUAAGCAUAUCAAAGCGGAGGA